rnacentral:rRNA from 1 species
GACGUAGGGCGCGAGCGUUGUCCGGAUUUAUUGGGCGUAAAGAGCUCGUAGGCGGCUUGUCGCGUCGACUGUGAAAUCCCGCGGCUCAACCGCGGGGUCUGCAGUCGGAUACGGGGCAGGCUAGAGUUCGGUAGGGGAGACUGGAAUUCCUGGUGUAGCGGUGAAAUGCGCAGAUAUCAGGAGGAACACCGAUGGCGAAGGGCAGGUCUCUGGGCCGAUACUGACGCUGAGGAGCGAAAGCGUGGGGGAGCGAACAGG